GAUCAGAGAGAUGAGCACCGGAAACUGGAUCUAGACCCCGCUGCUCCGAAUAUGCCUCAGCAUCCUCCUCGUCUGCUCCAAUCAGGCAAUGCCUUUGCAUCUGUGAUUCCUCGACCCCGCUCAUAGUCGGAUGGAAGGACAGAAAAAAAUUCAGUUAUUUGCGCUUCCUUUUGUCAAAGACCCCCACCCAGGCCCCGUCCCGCUGUUCCAGCCAUUGAGAUUCAUCCUCUCAGAGGCCGGGAAAUGGGCGAGGAAAUUGAAAGAUUGGUUCUAGUGUGCUUCCGCCGGCAUAUUCUCGCGUCCGCUGCCUUGGCUUGUGUUCGAUUGGACAAUGCUGGCUAUCAAAGACUGCCUUCGGACCGUGGCGGAUUUUGGCGGCGAUGGCUACCCAAUGUGACUAAGUCUAUUUAAGGUAGAAGAGGGGUUCAAAGAAGGAGGGGGGUUAUCACGGCCUAAGGAUGAUGAGGGAUAUAUAAGACAGGAGCUGGAACAUGUUAAAAGAUCGAUAGUGACAGUUAUGGCAAUGUCGUUGAGAUUUUUUGGAUGUAUAAUCCACGAUGUUGUAUGCGUUCACUUUGGGGCUCUAGCGGCAUUGAAAUCAGGACAUACACGAGUCAGGACGAUGAAUUUACGGUACAUGAGUUACAUACGCGAAGCCUGUCAGUACAAUAUGAAAAGUCCUUCGAUACUAUGUCGAGAUGAAAUUGACUAGCAGGGUUGACCUGCAAGAGCACAGUGAAAAACCGUAAAAACAAGCCAAGUAUCGGAAAGAUAAUGUGGCCUGGCCAAGAGAUUUGCAUUUGCGGGACUCGUUGCCUACGGAAUGUCCCUGAAGCAGCGGCUCCAAGCACCACAUUGAAACUCAGAAACAGCUCUUACUGUAUCAGCACAUCUUCCGAAAGUGAAUCUUCUGCAGCAAAGGGUGCCAAAUUUUGUCAUCGCUACAGAUUGGAUUACCGCCUCGAUCAAUCCUUUUUUUGAGAUAUGUUUACUUUCCGAAAAUAAGCGGUUCGGCUCAUGGUUCAGAUUUUUCCCAGGCCGCGAAUGGUAGCCGCCUGCCAUCUUUUAACAUCAUCAGAGGCGUUAAAAACGCUCCAGGCGCGUCAAGUGAUGUGGCAGCAGGCUAAAGAUGCUGGGAGCGUUGCCACCUGUCUUUGGUACUAUUGGGCGAUUGUGCAACUCGGAGCAUUGUAUCCUGGAAAGUCCCUUAAUGCUGCCCAAGGACCCUCAGCAAUACUCAGGAUUACUUGGCAUUGGCCAAGGCAUUGACAUAAUUCGAAAGAGCCAACUUAUAGUACUACUGUGCAAGGCCUGCAAUCUUGGGUUGUGCUGCCUGAAGAUCAUUUCAGACCUGUCACGUUAGAAUCGCAAUGAGAGACCGAGGUUAUUUUGUGUGCCUUCGUGUUACAGUCAAUUAUCCACACACAGGACUGUUACGAAUACGAAAAAUAACCGAAGACAAAACGGAGCCAGUCCCAUGAAUUUUGUAUAAAUUCAUAUCGGGACUAAGUAUAUGUGCUCGCAUGCGAUACUGGAAAGUGAUGGAAGAAUUGUAUUUGGACCUUGGUCACGGUGAAGUCCGGAUGAGGACAUUUAAGCAGCAUCGAUGAACAUCUUCAAUGCGGAGCAAAGCCUUAUGCAUCCAUAAAAUUAGACCCGCUUCCUCGUGCUUUCGCCAACUCAUCCCUAUGCACGCAUGAUUUGGCAAGGCGGGAUACAGCCUAUCAACUUCUUCUUUCUGGAAUAGUCUUCCAGCCUGAAGUGUUGAUAGUUUGAAGCAAAAUACGGGCUACACACUCAUGACUUCGGCCCUUUCAUCAAAUUUGUGUCGUGCUUUUUGGCUUCAUUUUUUUGUGUUUGAAAAAACGAUGUUUAAAUACGCGAUUCGCCUGCUCUCCAUAGUGGGAUUUUGCUGCCCGGUGAGAAAAUGCGAAUUCAGAAAUCAGCAACAGUCGCUGUGAGUCCUUGAAUGGGUUAACAUAUGUACUACAAUCUUCUUCGUACGACGAACAAGUGCUUGCGAUUGAAGUACAGUUCACUGCAAGAAAUCCAACUCAGCGCCACGUCCCCCUCCACCCCCACCACACACACUUCUUGAUGGUGACCACAUAAUAUGGGGGCGGUCUUCCUGUUCCAAGUUCAUGGUUACUGGAAGUCUUAUCUGUAAGUCAUUCUACCCGCAUACUGAAGGGUUUGCAAAUUGGUAUUCCAGUUAUGUUGUUGUCUUCGACCAGAAAGCGUUUCCAUCAUGUGCCACAGUACAUGUGAUGUGGUAGCAAUUAAUCCACCUAGACACUCAGAGUCCGAGAUAAUUGGUACCCAAAGGACUUCAAACCGAAAAUACCAAUCAAAUUGAGUUGUGUGAUCGUGACGAUCGAAUCAGACGGUAACGAUUCGGCUUCUACACCGCUCAAUUGAAUCUUCGCCUCACUCAUUGUGUUUUAGCUUAUUUACAGUCCUAUAGUUACUUGACCGGUAUAAAAGAGGUAGAUGUCAAGUUUGAGAUCUGAAUGGAGACUUAUCUGA
rnacentral:lncRNA from 1 species